GCCUAAAGAGAAGCUUGCGGCUGAUUAGCUUGUUGGUGAGGUAAUGGCUCACCAAGGCGACGAUCAGUAUCUGGUUUGAGAGGACGAUCAGACACACUGGAACUGAGACACGGUCCAGACUCCUACGGGAGGCAGCAGUGGGGAAUUUUCCGCAAUGGGCGAAAGCCUGACGGAGCAAUACCGCGUGAGGGAUGACGGCCUAUGGGUUGUAAACCUCUUUUUUCAGGGAGGAAUAAAUGACGUGUACCUGAGGAAUAAGCAUCGGCUAACUCCGUGCCAGCAGCCGCGGUAAGACGGAGGAUGCAAGUGUUAUCCGGAAUCACUGGGCGUAAAGCGUCUGUAGGUGGUCAAAUAAGUCAACUGUUAAAUCUUGAGGCUCAACCUCAAAAUCGCAGUCGAAACUAUUAGACUAGAGUAUAGUAGGGGUAAAGGGAAUUUCCAGUGGAGCGGUGAAAUGCGUAGAGAUUG
rnacentral:rRNA from 1 species